rnacentral:lncRNA from 1 species
UUUGUAUAUAGGUAUGCCUGGGCUGUUAUAAAAGUAAAAACAAAAAUCAUUUUUAUAUUAUAGACUUGUUUGGGGUGGGGAUUAAUGAAACGCAAUCUGCAAUGACGUCAUAAUCUUGUUGAAUUGUGGUCUAUGGAGCGGCCUGAAGUGUGCAUACGAAGCAGACUCGCUCCCUCGGUCAAAAUCAAGGGGUCGAGGGUGUGUCCAUAUAAACUUCCCUCGUCCACAAAAUGGCAGCGGGGAUUCCCCUGAGGGGAAGUGCUCAGGGAAGUUCUCGAGUGCGUGUCUAAAGGUGGAAUGGAACCCAGCCCAUCACACACUCAAUGAGAGGAAGAUAUUACAAACAGCCUGCAUAACACUUACAUGUAGCCCAGAUUCUGGUUUACUCUCAAUAAAACUGUCAAGAGCAUUCCAUCAGUGCAGUAAAGAUACUGUUUUAUUUGAUUUGCAGGAGAAUCUGUCAAGUUAUUUUAAAUAAAUAAUCAUUUAACAACUACAUCCCACUUGUUCCUUCUAAAACAAGAUUAAAAAAAAAAUCUUCUUGUCUUUCUCUUAAAGUUAAGAGAGUUUCACUCUAGUUUCACUCUGUUUCACAUAAGUUUCAUGCUCUUGUUUUGGAUGUAACGUCAUCUGCCGGCCCCCAUCAGAGGAAACUUCCUCUUUCCUCAGUGAAGUGGUCAGAGAUUUCCUCCUGUGUCAGUCCUGUCUGAGUCUCGCUGUGAAGACGCUUCUUGAAAUCCAGAACAGAGACGGACAGAAGUCCAGACACUCGUGUCACGAUCUGAAGCUGGGAUUGGGCUCUUCUGGAAACUGGACUUUAGAGAAAUUAUGCUAAUCUUUGGACUGCUGCUGCUGCUGCAAACUGCUGCAUGUCUGGAUCGGUUCUGCAGGAUUAAUCAGUCUGAUAUCUGUUACGCAGCUCUGGGACACAAACUCAAUCUGCUGAUGGUGCGGGACGCUAGUAAAUAUGACGUGAUGAUACAAAAGAGAAUAAACAACAACAAAACAACUGAUCCAGUUUGUAGAGUAAAGAAUGGCAGGAAGAAGGAGAAAGAAUGUGAUCUUUAUAGUAACAGACCUGAAGUUGCAGUCAUUAAUGGGACUCUGAUAAUAAACCGUGUGAUCAGAGAAGAUUCAGGGAGUUACACAGUAACUUUAACUCCAUCAGACGGCUCAGAAACAUCUACAGAUCUUCAAGUGAAUGUUGAAGGUACAGAAACCCUCUCCUCAGACUCAUCACAGCCUCAUGUUCUCCAAAGAUCUCACUCUCUCAAAUGAACCAGUUGAAUCCCUAUGAAGGAUUUUUAUUCAUGCAGCUCAUUAUUGUACACUGCCUGACUUUUUAAAAAAAAAAAUUACAUGAAAACAUUUUAAACAGUCAUUUGAUAAAUUGUUGUCACAUGACUAACCUACUGUACGCUGCAUGUUUAAUUCAGUCCAGCUUUCACCUCAGCAGUACAUUUUGUUAGAAAUGUCUUGACAUUGACUCAUACUGAGUCGAGAAGGAGUUGUGUGACGGUCACGUGUCCCUCCUUACAUUGACUCAUACUGAGUCGGGAAGGAGUUGUGUGACGGUCACGUGUCCUCCCUUCCAGCUCCUGUUGGCUCAGUGGAAGUGUCCAUCAGCUGACUCCUCCAGUGGAGUGAAGAGGGUGUCCUGCUCCUCUGAGGGCGAGCAGAUCCUCUACAGCUGGAGUCUGAAUGGAGGUCCACUGAUGGAUGGAAACUCCAGCUUUGAUCUGAAUGAGGGAACUGAUGGAAACAUCAGCUGCAGUGUGAAGAACCACGUCAGUCACGGACAGAAGACCGUUAGUGUCAAACUCUGUCCUGGUGAGCGUUAAAUACAUGAAUGUCCACAUAUUCAUAAAAACCACAGCGACAGCAACAAGAGUGAUGAAGAUGAGCCAAUCUCA